rnacentral:rRNA from 1 species
AGAGUUUGAUCAUGGCUCAGAACGUACGCUGUGCGGCACGCCUAACACAUGCAAGUCGAACGCAGUAGCAAUACUGAGUGGCAGACGGGUGAGUAACAUGCGGGAAUCUGCCUUGUGGUUCAGGACAACAUUGGGAAACCGAUGCUAAUACUGGAUAAGCCCUUACGGGGAAAGUUUUAAUGCCAUAAGAUGAGCCCGCAUUUGAUUAGUUAGUUGGUGAGGUAAUGGCUCACCAAGACAAUGAUCAAUAGCUGAUCUGAGAGGAUGAUCAGCCACACUGGGACUGAGACACGGCCCAGACACCUACGGGAGGCAGCAGUGGGGAACCUUGCACAAUGGAGGAAACUCUGAUGCAGCGAUGCCGCGUGGGUGAAGAAGGCCUUUGGGUUGUAAAGCUCUUUUGUAGGGGAAGAUAAUGACUGUACCCUAAGAAUAAGGUCCGGCUAACUUCGUGCCAGCAGCCGCGGUAAUACGAAGGGACCUAGCGUAGUUCGGAAUUACUGGGCGUAAAGCGCGCGUAGGCCGUUGAGUUAGUUAAUUGUGAAAUCCCAAAGCUUAACUUUGGAACUGCAAUUAAAACUGCUCGACUAGAGUUUGACAGAGGAAAGCGGAAUACAUAGUGUAGAGGUGAAAUUCGUAGAUAUUAUGUAGAACACCAGUUGCGAAGGCGGCUUUCUGGAUCAACACUGACGCUGAGGCGCGAAAGUAUGGGUAGCAAAGAGGAUUAGAUACCCUCGUAGUCCAUACCAUAAACGAUGAUUGCUAG